CACUAUGUUGUGUCCGUCGGUGCCGGUCGAGAGACCGGCUGAAAAGGGAAGCCGGUAGGGAGGGCCCGCGGAUCGCCGCGCGGCCGCCGAAGCCGGCGCUGCCCCGCAGCGGUAUGGGAAACGAACGGGCCAUGGCACUGGGCGCGACGAGCGCCUGGGAAGCGGCCCCAGUAGGACAAAAGCGAGGAACGAGCGGAGAGGAGUGAGGAGUGAGCGAAGGCGGAUCGCUGCGGCUCGCUCCUCACUCCUCUCCGCUCUGUUUCUGGCUCUGAGUCCCGAGCCCGAAGACCUGCCGACAGCCGCGCGUCGCA
rnacentral:ncRNA from 1 species